UACGGUAGGGUGCAAGCGUUAAUCGGAAUUACUGGGCGUAAAGCGUGCGCAGGCGGUUUUGUAAGUCUGUCGUGAAAGCCCCGGGCUCAACCUGGGAAUUGCGAUGGAGACUGCAAGGCUUGAAUCUGGCAGAGGGGGGUAGAAUUCCACGUGUAGCAGUGAAAUGCGUAGAGAUGUGGAGGAACACCGAUGGCGAAGGCAGCCCCCUGGGUCAAGAUUGACGCUCAUGCACGAAAGCGUGGGGAGCAAACAGG
rnacentral:rRNA from 1 species